rnacentral:rRNA from 1 species
UACGUAGGGAGCAAGCGUUGUCCGGAAUCAUUGGGCGUAAAGCGCGCGUAGGUGGCUUCGUAAGUCCGUUGUGAAAGUCAAAGGCUCAACCUUUGAAAGCCGAUGGAUACUGCGGAGCUAGAGUACGGAAGAGGCGAGUGGAAUUCCCGGUGUAGCGGUGGAAAUGCGCAGAUAUCGGGAGGAACACCUAUGGCGAAGGCAGCUCGCUGGGACGGUACUGACGCUGAAACACGAAAGCGUGGGUAGCAAACAGG